rnacentral:rRNA from 1 species
GACGAACGCUGGCGGCGUGCUUAACACAUGCAAGUCGAACGGUGAACGAGGGAGCUUGCUCCCUCCGGAUCAGUGGCGAACGGGUGAGUAACACGUGAGCAAUCUGCCCCGAACUCUGGGAUAAGCGUUGGAAACGACGUCUAAUACCGGAUACGACGCGGGAGGGCAUCCUCUCCGCGUGGAAAGAACUUCGGUUCGGGAUGAGCUCGCGGCCUAUCAGCUUGUUGGUGAGGUAACGGCUCACCAAGGCGACGACGGGUAGCCGGCCUGAGAGGGUGACCGGCCACACUGGGACUGAGACACGGCCCAGACUCCUACGGGAGGCAGCAGUGGGGAAUAUUGCACAAUGGGCGCAAGCCUGAUGCAGCAACGCCGCGUGAGGGACGACGGCUUUCGGGUUGUAAACCUCUUUUAGCAGGGAAGAAGCGAAAGUGACGGUACCUGCAGAAAAAGCACCGGCUAACUACGUG